rnacentral:rRNA from 1 species
AGGGAAGAACAAGUACCGUUCAAAUAGGGCGGGACCUUGACGGUACCUAACCAGAAAGCCACGGCUAACUACGUGCCAGCAGCCGCGGUAAUACGUAGGUGGCAAGCGUUAUCCGGAAUUAUUGGGCGUAAAGCGCGCGCAGGCGGUCCUUUAAGUCUGAUGUGAAAGCCCACGGCUCAACCGUGGAGGGUCAUUGGAAACUGGGGGACUUGAGUGCAAAAGAGGAGAGCGGAAUUCCACGUGUAGCGGUGAAAUGCGUAGAGAUGUGGAGGAACACCAGUGGCGAAGGCGGCUCUCUGGUCUGUAACUGACGCUGAGGCGCGAAAGCGUGGGGAGCGAACAGGAUUAGAUACCCUGGUAGUCCACGCCGUAAACGAUGAGUGCUAAGUGUUAGAGGGUUUCCGCCCUUUAGUGCUGCAGCAAACGCAUUAAGCACUCCGCCUGGGGAGUACGGUCGCAAGACUGAAACUCAAAGGAAUUGACGGA